UAAUACGGAGGAUCCAAGCGUUAUCCGGAUUUAUUGGGUUUAAAGGGUGCGUAGGCGGAACGAUAAGUCAGUGGUGAAAGCCUGCAGCUUAACUGCAGAACUGCCAUUGAUACUGUCGAUCUUGAGUACAUUUGAUGUGGGCGGAAUGUGUCAUGUAGCGGUGAAAUGCUUAGAUAUGACACAGAACACCGAUUGCGAAGGCAGCUCACAAAACUGUAACUGACGCUGAGGCACGAAAGCGUGGGUAUCAAACAGGAUUAGAUACCCUGGUAGUCCACGCUGUAAACUAUGAUUACUCGAUGUUUGCGAUAUACUGUAAGCGUCUAAGCGAAAGCGAUAAGUAAUCCACCUGGGGAGUACGCUCGCAAGAGUG
rnacentral:rRNA from 1 species